CGGUCGCAUCCUAAACGGACAUGUAGUGUGCUGCGUUUGGUCCGGGAACUGUCGCGUUUACGCAUUAAUACGAAGUGAGCGUAAGAAGGGAUGGUGGGAGUGAUUUGGGACACGGCAAACGUCAUGUUCACUCCGAGCUCGAGAUGCGAACUGUAACGUGGAGUGUUUGGGUUCCGUUAGUUUUCUGCUCGGCGUUUGUUGAAGGACAACAAAGGCCGGUGUAUUCAUGUGGUGGAAACUUGACUGGAACCUCUGGCCUCAUGGGGAGUCAGGGAUACCCCGGAGUUUACCCCCCAAACACCAAAUGCGUGUGGAGAAUCACGGUGCCUCAGGGAAAAGUGGUGUCCCUCACCUUCCACUCCCUUGACCUUGAGAGCGACUCACUUUGUCGCUACGAUUACGUGGAUGUGUAUGACGGGUUUGUUAAAAGCCAGCGGCUCGGACGCUUCUGUGGUAUGGCCCGGCCUGGAGCACUGAUCUCCAACCACAACAGGAUGCUAGUAGUGAUGGUUUCGGAUGCCAACACGGCUGGAAGCGGCUUCCUGGCCGGAUACAGCGCCGUUCAGCCCAAUGCCAAGGGGGAGCGAUACUGCGGCGGACUCUUCGAAAAACCCUCAGGAAGCUUCAUGACCCCUAACUGGCCCGACAGAGAUUAUCCUCCAGGGGUGACCUGCUCGUGGCAUAUUGUAGCACCUGAGCACCAGGUAAUAGAGCUGACGUUCGAGAAGUUUGACGUGGAGAGAGAUAACUACUGCCGCUACGAUCACAUGGUCGUUUACAACGGCGGUGAACCGAGCGACGCGAGCAGGAUCGGGAAGUUCUGCGGCGACAGCCCUCCUGCGCCGAUCUUCUCCGAGGGCAGCCACCUCUUAAUCCAGUUCGUCUCUGAUCUUAGCCUCACCGCCGACGGAUUCAUCUGCCAUUACACGUUCCAGCCAAAGAACUUCACCAUCACAGGUUACCCGGUUCCUGUUACCGCGGCCGCUCCCACCCCUGCACGGCCCGUCGCACUGACGUAUUCUGAAGCUCUCUGCAAGCAGAAGUGCAAGAGGAUCGGAACAAUCGAAAGUCAUUACUGCUUAAGCAACUUUGUGCUGACGGGAACGCUCGUCUCCGCUGUCAUGAAGGAACACAGCGUGCUCGCCACCUUCUCCAUCACCAACGUGUACAAGGAAGGAAACCUGUCCAUCCAGCAGGCUGGAAAGAGCAUGAGUGCGAAAGUCAUGAUCCUGUGUAAGAAAUGCCCUUUAGUCAGGAGAGCCAUGAAAGUCAUUUCGAUUCAGGAAAGACUACAGACCGACUCACAUUCAUGCCAGACAUGUCGACGAUGACCUGCAUCUUGUCGUCAUCUCCACUAGGAGCGAUCUCAUUCAACAAGUGAAACUUUAAGGUGAUAGUUCACCCAGCGCAGCAGCAGCUCCUCAGGGGACAGAGACAACAGAUGGUCCAAGUCCUCACCCUCGCCGAGUAGGGCAAUCAGGGCUGCACAAGCAGACAAGCAGAUUAUUAGCCCUGAGAUCAGUGAAAUGUCUUUCUUAAAAAAGAAACAUAUUUUUAUUGGCUUCAUACAAUUGACCUCAUACAACACUCAUUUGACCUCAACUGGGAAUGCCAGGAAUGUGAGUAGGGAGAAAAGUACGGGCUCUGAAAACCUACUAAACCUCAGUUUCAUACUGUACUAGACGAAUGACAUGUGUCUGACCUUCAUUGCUUGAGAUCUCUAUGUUGGCGAACAGGCCAAUCUUAAUGAUCUGCCAGAGCAGCCCAAGCACCAGGUGAGGAGUUCCAGCGAUCAUGUCUUGAGCAUCGAUGUUUACCACCAUACAACCGAUGGCUGAGGCGGAGUUAAGAGCCAGUAUCAAAUUCUCCUAGAAGACAAGAAAGACAGACGGGUUUGUCUUUCCGUGAAUAAAUAUGACACAAUUAUUGUUCAAAGCUUUGAAUAAGAAAUGGUGUAAGAAUUCAUGGGAAAUCCUCAAGGUGUCUCUUGAGCACAUCAUUUCUAACACUGGCAGCACAAAGCACUUGAAAGCUUAAGAAGUAAAGCAACACACCCGUGAAACCAGCACUUAAACCACUUUGUCCAGUCAAUUUCCAUAUGGAAAUCUCUUAUUGAGAAGGCAUCAGAUGCCCUUAAAGCAGCAGGCUUUACUUACAGUAGGAAAAGGUGUGAAAGAUGGACCACACACAGAUAACCACAUAUGUUAUCUGUGUUUUUUUUUUAAAUAAAAGUUUUCCUUUCACUGUCAAAACCUUGAGAUGUUUUCAUCACACAACCACCAUAGCUCGUUUCUUGGCAUAUGUCAUUUUAUAUCUGUAAAGCAAAAUUUGAAACCUAGUUCUAGUUUGACAGAGCAGGACUUUGUUGAUCUAAGCAUGGCAACUCUGUAGAUUCAGAUCAAAUCAGAGACUUUGGUUCCUCGAGAGCCGUCCUGAGGUCAUCCUGACUGUUAUGUGCUUGUUUCAUUCUUCACUUAGCCACUUUAACGCAACAAAAUCGAGAGCUCAUGAAAAAAGGAUGAAGUGUUGACUGGCCUUCAGCACAUAAAGCUGGAUUUGAUAGCAGCAAUAUGGCUGUGUCUUAUUUUGAUCCAACCAAGCACGGAGAGACAAUUUUGGACGCAAGCCCAGUAUGUCUUCCUGCUUGCUGCUGUACUGGCACAAAGUGACUCAGAUGGAAAGCUGGAUGUACUUGCGUAUGUCAGCAAGGCUCUGUCACCUGUUGAACAGCAAUAUUUGCAGACAGAAAGGCUCUGGCAGGGAUUUGGGGAUGUCUUCAUUUCCCAGCUAAAUUUGCUUGCUGGCGCAUUUACACUGAGCGCUGACUACAAAUCCCUGGGAUUGGAAUUCAACAAUCCGUCAUCCUGUCCUCCUUCAUAACUGAAAUGCUUUACAGUUAAACUGCAAUAUUACAACUCUGCAGGUCCUGGGAAGCGGGCCAACUACAUCUCUAGGCACAGAAACAGCGAUAUUCAUGCCACCGAACAGGCUGUAGAUCAUGUACGCUUCAGACACAACAACAACGACACACCAGGCACUAUUGCAGAGUAUUUUACAAAGACUUAUGAAGGCCCAUUGAUAUAAAUGUUGUUGC